rnacentral:rRNA from 1 species
GGGCCCGCACAAGCGGUGGAGCAUGUGGUUUAAUUCGAUGAUACGCGAGGAACCUUACCAGGGCUUAAAUGUAGAACGACCGAUUUGGAAACAAGUCUUCUCUUUGAGCGGUCUACAAGGUGCUGCAUGGUUGUCGUCAGCUCGUGCCGUGAGGUGUCGGGUUAAGUCCCUUAACGAGCGCAACCCCUAUCUCUAGUUGCCAGCGGAUAAUGCCGGGGACUCUAGAGAAACUGCCCGUGCAAACGGUGAGGAAGGUGGGGAUGACGUCAAAUCAUCACGGCCCUUACGUCCUGGGCUACACACGUGCUACAAUGGUCGGUACAGAGGGCAGCUACCACGUGAGUGGAUGCA